rnacentral:piRNA from 1 species
CUAUUAUGUAUUGGUACGUCUGUAG